rnacentral:sRNA from 1 species
UAGGGAUUGCAAUGACAUCCUUUUUUUUGAUGACAUAUAUGGCAAAAAAAAGAUAUAAUGGAAAGCCCGACCCUUU